UAUCUUGAAAGGAAACCAAGAUGUGCU
rnacentral:piRNA from 1 species